GGGGAGAUACUCAAGCGGCCAACGAGGACAGACUGUAAAUCUGUUGACUAUGUCUUCGCAGGUUCGAAUCCUGCUCUCCCCACCA
rnacentral:tRNA from 1 species